rnacentral:lncRNA from 1 species
UCCAUUUUUCAAUUUCUUCACCAGUUGUCACCGCCGUCGUCCACCACCAUCACUGUCGCCGUAACAACCGUCACACAAUGAAGUAACUAUUAGUUUUUUCUUUGCUAACAAAAAUGAGUUAUUGUGUUAGCAGUAGCAACAACAAACUACUACCUCCAACUAUAUCCAAUUCUUCACAACAAAGUGAAGAAGAAACAGUUAAAGAAUGGUGAUAUUGACAAAGUGGAUGCUAA